rnacentral:lncRNA from 1 species
AAACACAUCGAAAUUUGACAUUUGGAACAACUUCAACAUUUGACCUUUGAGAAACAUGGUUGAACAACAUAUUCUGACCUGGCUGCUGUAAGAGCUGACAGACACAGAGGAUUUAAAGCAGUUGUGUCACGCUUGUCGUCGGUUAAAGAGGACCAAAACGCAGCAGGUAUGUGAAUGCUCAUCUCGACGUUUUAAUGAAUACAAAAUGAACACCAAAAUAACAAACAGAAAUAACGAUCGACUGACAGUCUGCAAGGCACAAGGCUAACACAGAACAAUCACCCACCAAUAACAAACACAAACACACCCUAAUAUAUGGGACUCUCAAUCAAAGGCAGAUAGACAACACCUGCCUUCAACUGAGAGUCCCAACCCCAAUUAACCAAACAUAGAAACAGACAUACUAGACUAAACAUAGAAUACCUGAAAACCAAACAGUGCCCAAAAACCCCGGAAUACUUAAACCAAAUGCCCCUUCAACAAAACACACCACCCCGAACCACAUAAAACGAAUACCCUCUGCCACGUCCUGACCAAACUACAAUACCAAUUAACCUUAUACUGGCCAGGACGUGACAAGUUGUUACUGCACUGGGUUAAAUGAGGGUCACACAGAGUGUUUCUAGGUAGUCUUAAACACAUCUACUGUGAAACAAAAAUACACACCUCACACACAUGGUUAUGGGCUUAAAGAAGACACCUGUACCAUGUCAGAUAUAGAGUCGAGAGUUUACGUCUCAAUAUUACACUUUAUAUACAUCACAGAAGACUGAAGUAUAACUAAACCGUUUGACAUAGAAACACCAGAUUUUGUUAAUUAUUUACGAAAUUCUUAAAAAUAUGAAUAACAUUCCACCCAUGAGGCCACUAGGUCAUUUAACUGCAGGAAAGGCUACAUCUAUGUGAGAACCAACAAUGUUUUUCUAGUCAGAGUAAGACACACACACUACACACACACACACCCUGAGGAAGUGGUCCUGUCUGAAAAAGCUAGCUCACGUGUGUGUGUGUGUGUGUGUGUGUGUGUGUGUGUGUGUGUGUGUGUGUGUGUGUGUGUGUGUGUGUGUGUGUGUGUGUGUGUGUGUGUGUGUUAGACAUACAGAUGUGCUGACAACAGGAGACACAGCUGUUGAGGGAACUGUGGUGUUUUGCUUGGAACAGCAUACUGAUGCUGUCGCACAGGUGGCUGGUGGCACCUUAAUUGGGGAGGACGGGCUCAUAGUAACGGCUGGAACGGAGUCAGUGGUGUGGUAUCAAAUACAUCAAACACGUGGUUUCCUUGUUAUGAGCCGUCCUCCCCUCGCCAGCCUCCUAGUAUUCUGCACUGUAGGCACUUCAAGUAAGCCACUACUCAUCUGUAAGUAAUCCUACAUGGAUACAAGAGGCAUAUCUCAUACUUUGUUGUCAUAGAAUAAAUUAUUCACUUGAAGUAAAGUGGGUUGUGAGUUUAAAUGAUUACAAGCAGUAGACAGAUUUAUUCAUCAGGAAUGUGUGUAUGUUUCAGGUUUUGUGAUCUAUUUUACAUUUUCUAUGUGUCAGAUAUUGUUAGGCCCAUCAAAAGCCCAGGUUUAUUAUAUAUUUCCAGUGUUGUCUAGUGGCCGUCUUUGGUGAUGAAUUUGACCAGAUCUGCAAACUCCAUCAUAUCGAGCUUGUGAUCUCCAUUUCCGUCAUAAGCCACAAUGAACUCCUCCAGCAGCUGAUCAUUCAGCACCUAGAGAGAGAGAGAGAGAGACACAGAAAGAGAGAGAGAGAGAGAGACAGAGAGAGAGAGAGAGAGAGAGAGAGAGAGAGACAGAGAGAGAGAGAGAGAGAGACACACACAGAGAGAGAGAGAGAGAGAGAGAGAGAGAGAGAGACACACAGAGAGAGAGAGAGAGAGAGAGAGAGAGACUCAGUCUCAGUUUAGGAUUCUGCCCUUUCAGCCCAGUACACACACACAAGCACAAGCACACACACACACACUUACACACCUGGACCUGGCUGAACUCAUUGGAGAGGAGGCUGCGGAGCUGCUCGGUGGUGAGGGAUUCUCCAUCUGAGCUGUAGCUGAGGAACAGAGCUCUAGUCAUGGGCCUGCUGGAGCCCUGCGGAGUGGCUGGAGGGAGAGGGAGAUAGAAGAGGGAAGGGGUUUGGGCCAUGGAGACAAGACAAGAAAGAGCCAGCACUGCCCCCAAGUGGUGGAGAAAUGUCAUUGUAGUAACCUGCAGAAGACAAUAAAAGACAUUCAAAAUGGGCCUGAAGUUGGGCAUGGAGUUGACUCUGAAACUUCAUUGUCAGAAAUGUGUGAUGAACAUGAAAGCCCAAGAUAGACUGAGAUCACACCACCCAAUAUUACUCACUCACCCAAUAGACACACAGGUACCAACAUACCUAAAAUAUUUGUAAAACAUCACAGAAGAUAUAUAGCUCUUUGACAGAGAGAAAUACUUUCGCUUGUUUCGCUGUUCCUCUUUUUCCUCCUCGUCUGUUUUACAGAUUAAAACCUGUUCGGUCACUUCAAAGCAAAGUGUUGCUUUCACCUGGCUGGUUUUCACCUGGCUAGUAUACACCUGGCUGGUGUUCACCUGGCUGGUGUUCACCUGGCUGGUAUUCACCUGGCUAGUAUUCACCUGACUGGUGUUCACCUGGCUGGUGUUCACCUGGCUAGUAUUCACCUGGCUGGUUUUCACCUGGCUGGUAUUCACCUGGCUAGUAUUCACCUGGCUGGUUUUCACCUGGCUAGUAUUCACCUGGCUGGUAUUCACCUGGCUGGUGUUCAC